CCAGAUGGCCGGAUGGUCGCCCCUUGCCACCUUUGAUGAUGGCGGGGGGAGGAAAGUCCGGGCUCCACGGAAAAACGGUGCCGGAUAACGUCCGGCGGGGGCGACCCCAGGGACAGUGCCACAGAAAGCAGACCGCUGCGGCCUUGGCAGCAGCAAGGGUGAAAGGGUGCGGCAAGAGCGCACCGCGCCCCUGGUAACAGGGGCGGCAUGGUAAACCCCACCGGGAGCAAGACCAAGUAGGGACGGCAGCCGCAACAGGCGGCAGGCACUUUUCCGGGCCGCCGUCCGGGUCGGUCGCACCAGGUGUCCGGUAACGGGCAUCGCAGAUGAAUGACCAUCCAGCGCACAAAUUGUGCGUGGACAGAACCCGGCUUACAGGCCAUCUGGCACU
rfam:Haematospirillum jordaniae strain H5569, complete genome.